GCUCAACUUCUAGCCCUACCACCCUUCAUGCAAAAUCCUUAAUUUUAUCAAACAAUUAAAACAUUUUCACAAUUUAGUACAAGGUGAUAAAAAAAUUAUUCUGGAGCAUUAUAAAAAGUACCGCAAGGGAAAGAUGAAAUAUUAAUGAAAUAUUUUUAAGCACAAAAAAGUAGAGUUUGCCCCUCGUACCUUUCGCAUCAUGGUUUAACUAGUUCAACUAGGCAAAAAGAUUUAUAGUCUAACUUCCCGAAUCUAGGCGAGCUAUUUUAAGACAGCUUCAUGAGCCAACCCGUCUCUGUCGCAAAAGAGUGGGAUGAUCAUAAAAUAGCGGUGACAAACCUAACGAGCCUAGCGAUAGCUGGUUAUUUUUUAAAAGGAUUUUAGUCCCGCUUAAAGUUUUUCUAAUACCAAGAAAUCACCACUUUAAAGUAAUUCAAAUAAGGUUCAGCCUAUUUGAAAAAGGAUACAACCUUAACCACUGGGUUACUCUGUUUUCACACGACCAAGUAGGCCUAAAAGCAGUCAUCUUUAAAAAAGCGUCAAAGCUUAGUCAUCAAUAACCCUAAUUUCUUACACACCUUCCAACCCCUCAUCACUAAAAAAUAACUCUAUAUCUCUAUAGAAGUUUUUAUGUUAAAAUUAGUAACAAGAAGUAGCCCUUCUCUUAAGUGCAUCUAUACAUCAAUUAGGACAAUCCACUGAUCAUUAACGUUUUUAAACACUAAAUAGUAACAUCUCAAGAAAAAUCUAUUCUCUCUACACGUUAACCUAACACAAGAGCACUCUAAGAAAGAUCAAAAGAAAAAGAAGGAACUCGGCAAAAAUUAGCUUCGCCUGUUUACCAAAAACAUCGCCUCUUGAUUUAACUAUAAGAGGUCCAGCCUGCCCAGUGACACUGUUCAACGGCCGCGGUAUCCUAACCGUGCGAAGGUAGCGUAAUCACUUGUCCUUUAAAUGAGGACUAGUAUGAAUGGCCCCACGAAAGCUAUACUGUCUCCUUUUUCCAAUCAGUUAAAUUAAUCUUCCCGUGAAGAAGCGGGAAUAAACAUAUAAGACGAGAAGACCCUAUGGAGCUUUAAACAAUUGAAACAAGUGCAUUUUUCAUUCCAUUCCAGAAACCAACAAUUAAUCCCUCACUCUGUUUCUAGUUUUAGGUUGGGGUGACCAAGGAGAAAAAACCAACCUCCACGUUGAAAGGGACUAACCCCUUAACAAAAAGCAACAUCUUUAUGUAUUAACACAUUAACCCAAAUUGACCCAAUUAAUUGAUCAACGAACCAAGUUACCCUAGGGAUAACAGCGCAAUCCAUUUCAAGAGCUCUUAUCGACAAAUGGGUUUACGACCUCGAUGUUGGAUCAGGGUAUCCCAGUGGUGCAGCCGCUACUAAAGGUUCGUUUGUUCAACGAUUAAAACCCUACGUGAUCUGAGUUCAGACCGGAGCAAUCCAGGUCAGUUUCUAUCUAUAAAGAGUUUUUUCCAGUACGAAAGGACCAAAAAAACAUGGCCUAUACCCUCCUGCAAGCCAUCCAUUUUGCAUUUAUGAAACAAGCUAAAUAAUCAAAACUCUACAAUUUAUUUUUAGACAAAAACCCA
rnacentral:rRNA from 1 species